CCAGACUCCUACGGGAGGCAGCAGUGGGGGAUAUUGCACAAUGGGGGAAACCCUGAUGCAGCGACGCCGCGUGGGUGAAGAAGUAUUUCGGUAUGUAAAGCCCUAUCAGCAGGGAAGAAAGAAGACGGUACCUGACUAAGAAGCCCCGGCUAACUACGUGCCAGCAGCCGCGGUAAUACGUAGGGGGCAAGCGUUAUCCGGAUUUACUGGGUGUAAAGGGAGCGUAGACGGUUAUGUAAGUCUGGAGUGAAAGCCCGGGGCCCAACCCCGGGACUGCUUUGGAAACUGUGUAACUGGAGUACAGGAGGGGCAGGCGAAAUUCCUGGUGUAGCGGUGAAAUGCGUAGAUAUUAGGAGGAACACCAGUGGCGAAGGCGGCUUACUGGACUGUAACUGACGUUGAGGCUCGAAAGCGUGGGGAGCAAACAGGAUUAGAUACCCCCGUA
rnacentral:rRNA from 1 species